ensembl:lncRNA
UUGGGCUCCAGAACCACUGCAGAUGGUGACUGCAGCCGUGAAAUUAAAGGAUACUUGCUCCUUUGAAGGAAAGCUAUGACCAACCUAGGCAGCAUAUUAAAAAGCAGAGACAUUACUUUGCCAACAAAGGUCCAUCUAGUCAAAGCUAUGGUUUUCCCAGUAGUCAUGUGUGGAUGUGAGACUUGGACCACAAAGAAAGUUGAAAGAAAGUAGAAAGUGUCAGUCUCUCAGUCAUAUUCGACUCUGUGACCGCAUGGACCAUAGCCCACCAGGCUCCUCUGUCCACGGGAUUCUUCAGGCAAGAAUACUGGAGUAGGUAGCCUUUCCCUUCUCCAGGAGAUCUUCCUAACCCAGGGAUCGAACCCAGGUCUCCUGCAUUGUAGGCAAAUUCUUUACCAUCUGAGCCACCAGGGAAGCUUUGAUGCUUUUGAACUGUGGUGUUGGAGAAGACUCUUGAGAGUCUCUUGGACUUCAAGGAGUUCAAACCAGUCAAUCCUAUGGGAAAUCAGUCCUAAAUGUUCAUUGGAAGGAGUGAUGCUGAAGCUGAAGCUCCAAUACUUUGGCCACUUGAUGCAAAGAACUGACUCAUUGGAAAAGACCCAGAUGCUGGGAAAGAUUGAAGGCAGGAGGAGAAGCUGAUGACAGAGGAUGAGAUGGUGGGUUGGCAUCACCGACUCGAUGGACAUGAGUUUGAGCAAAUUCUGGGAGAUGGUGAAGGACACGGGGAAGCUGAUGUUCUGCAAUCCACUGGGUCACUAAGAGUCAGACACAACUGAGCAACUGAACUAUACUGAUCUGAACUACUGAAGACGCCGUAUGUCAUCAUGUUCAUAAUCUCCAGCGUCCCCCACUUGCCCAUAGUUGAACUGAUUUUCCUGGGACUGCAGAAGCUUGGACCAGUACAGGGUUGGGAUGUUUCUCUGUUGGUGAAGUGGAAGGCUGGGCGUUCAAGAGCUUCAGAAGUUCUGGUAACUGGACAGCAUGGAGAUAACGACAGCCAGCCG